AGGAAACUACAUUAGAAGCGACAACCGGUCGCCAUUUUCGCAAUUUGCGAAAAAAUAAUAAUUGUGGCGAUAAAAAUUCGUCAUUUGCGAAAGAAUUUGGCGAAAGAAAUAUAUAAAACGAUUUAUUUUCCUCCAUCUUGUUAAUUUACUUUAAUUUUUUCUCGAGUUUCUCGGACUUUACCCGAUCAGACAAUACUCGGAAUUCACCUUGACCUCAUUAAGAUUUUGACAGAAAAUCAAUAAUCAGCUGAUUGCAUUUAAAAGCUAUCGACAAAAAGACUAAUUUAAAAGGUGUUUGAUUGAAUUGUUUGACAAAAUGAUAUGGUUAAAUGGCUUCCGCUAAAUGUCACAUACAGAAUUUAUUUACCACCUUGCGACGCACGUGUUUGAAGCAAACUUUUGACGUCUCCUCUCCUUUUAAAGAAAGUUUAGAAAAGAAAGCUUUGUUGUGACGAAAAAUGUUCAAAAGCAAGAAAAGUCUCCGAUUUAAAACUGUAAUUAUCAUUUGGUUUUAAUAUAGGUAAUUGAUUAGGGAGACUACUUUAAAGUCGUGUGAGUGACACGCGUGUUUCAAGCAUAGUUUUACGUCUCAACUUUUUUAUUUACGAUGGUCAAGAAAAGAAAACUGCCGUUAUGACGAAAUCUAUCCAAAUUCAUUUAAAAUAAAAUAAGUUUGAGGGAAUAAUCAUAGACACAGUGGAGCAAAAUCAUCUUAUUUAAGGGAGGGGCGGGGUUGGGUAGAAAAAAAGGUAAAUUUUAAACGAAAAUAUAGUUAUGUUACUUGCGAAAAAAAUAAUAAAGUGGCGAAAAAUAUAUUGUUUUGGCGAAAGAGGUGGCAAAAAAUAAUUGACCCAGGGGAAACCUGGCGACAACAGUUGGACAGACGACAACAUUUGGACAGACGACAACAGUUGGACAGACGACAACAUUUGGACAGACGACAACAGUUGGACAGACGACAACAGUUGGACAGACGACAACAGUUGGACAGACGACAACAUUUGGACAGACGACAACAGUUGGACAGACGAGAACAGUUGGACAGACGACAACAGUAGAUCCUAGAUUCUCAGCAUGCAAAGGUCCUUUUACAAAAAGUGAGGAGCAUUUAUAUAUUUUUACAUCCAACUUUGGUUCUUUUUACAUCAACCAAAUUGAUGAAAAAAACAAUCUGCUCUGUUGUUGGGUUGUUGUCUCUUUGACAUAUUUCCCUUUUCUAUCCAAACCAGUAGAACAAAGUAAAAUCACACAAAUUGCUUCGAAGAAAUUUUGAAACGAAAGGUCAAAUUACAAAACAAAGAGCUCAAAUACACCACACGAAUGAAUAAAACCGUCAUAUUCAUGACUUGAUACAGAUAUUUUCUUUCGAAGAAAAUUGUGGCUUGAACCUUGUUUUAUAGUAGGUAGCUUAACCUUUUUUCAUGUAUGGCAGUCGGAUAAAAAAAAAAACAUUUUAAAUUGACAACUAUGUGUGAAUAAAACAAACCGACAUCAUACGUAAAAAAUGUCAAAAAUAGAGGUACAGUAGGCAACGUUGCGUCAUAAUCAUCAACACUUCAAAAACAAACAAACAGCAACAAAGAAGCACAAUAAUGAGGUUUAUUUUCAGCUUCCUGUUUAAAAAUCUGUUUGUAUAUAUAUUUUUUUUAAGUUCGCAAUGCUGCUACAAUAAAGUUUACUCUUAGGUGUAACUUACUUUCAUAAUGAUACUAUAUUCGAUUUUUGACAGAUACUGGAGAGUUUU
rnacentral:lncRNA from 1 species